CUAACAUCGCUGAAAUGCUCCAAAUGGAAAAAGACGUCUUGUUGGCUGAACAGAGAGAGGUGGCUGAGCAGACCACCAUCGCCGCCAACUGGUUAAAGACAAAAAAUGACGCCUUCCUGGCCAAGCAAAGAGACCUAAAACAGUACCUAAGUAGUCAUCACGUGAACA